UGACACUUCAGGCACUGAUACAGCCAUGGAGAGGCUCAGCAUCCAUGCGCAGAGGGGAGGGGAGGGGAAGAGAGUAGCGUCUGCUCUCCUGGCUGCUGCUUGCUGCGGCGGCUUCCGCGGGGAGCCGGUGUGGAGAGUUGCUGGUUAGUAGUGGGGAUGGAGAGACAGUAGGAGCAGUUCUUCCCUUCUCUUGGUCUCGGUGCUCAACUGAUGCACAUGAAAAGUGGUGCAAGGAGGCAGAAGGGGAGUAAACAGGGGUAAAACCUGAUAGUGAAAGCAGGCUGGGGUUUCAGUGGGAGAGGGGCUUGCAGGAUUCUCGCUCGCUGUGGCUCGGCCAAUCAGGAGUGAGCGUGCGCUGGUGGUGGAGAGCAGAGGGAAUUGUUUGACAGGUUACGUGCCAUGAAAAGAGCUUCGGUCAAUAUUUACUCCAUGGAAGAAAGAAACAACACAAGGGUGAACUUUCAUUUAUGGGUGAACUAUUCCUAUUAAAACACUAUCAUUUGUUAGUGAAACUUGUGCCACUAAUCAUUGCCCUCAUUUUCUUUAUUUCCAUUGUCUAUUUUAUUGUAUGUGAUAUCCCUUUACACUCCAUCUCCACUUCAUCCUUUAUCUUUCCCCGCUUCUCUGUCUCUCUGAAACACACCCACAACACUCUUUCUCUGACUCUCCAUUUCUUCUCUAGCACUAUCUGCAUUAUUUUUCCCAGCAUGCCGAGGGUGCUGCUUGUUCAGGUUAAGCACUUGGGAGGACAACUGGCCCUGGGGACAUCAUUUUCCAUUACAGAGACAAGAAACCUUUUCUCUCAGUUGAAGAAGGAGGGAAAAAGUCAGAGCCCUGAACUGGUUAUGCUCCUUGUCAUGUUCUCUUACUCCCCCGACUCGCAAUUCGUUUAGUCAAUAUUUAAUGCCAGUGUUGUGCUGUACAGUUGUCUGUUGGCCCGAUCCAUGGGUUUGAUCUCCAUGUCUUGACUGAUCUUUCUCUAGGCUUAUAGGCUUGCACUGAGCUGUGAUGCAGAGUUUUUAGACACACCAAAAAGUGUGGCACAAGCUUAUAAAUGGCUACAUACCUUGCUCUGAUGCAAGAUGUGCUUCAUGCAUUUUGUGCAAAAACAGGUCACCUUUAGUUCAAUCCAGCUGCAUUCAAAUUCCUGUACUUUCUAAGUAUGUUCUGAAAUCAAUAAAUAACUUGCUUCUCAACUGUUAAUAAAGAAUGUU